AGCGUCAAACUUUUAAAUAGUAAAAUGCAACUCCAUUUUUGCCGAAAUUCCGAAAUAAUUUCUUACGGUGUAUUCACCCGCAGUCAGUUUAGUUUCCCGUUCCCGCUCCUGCAGGUUAUUUUGUUUUGUUUUCUGGCCGUCGCGAAUCGCAUUCAUCAGCGAAACGCCCUCAUAUAUUUCGACCAGCUGAAGAUUUCAUCGUGGAAGGGAAACUAUAGAGAAGACACUGCCGGAACCAAAACCACCAAAAGUGCAUAAUAAAAAAUAAAUUGGUCCCGUAAGUUGGAUAAUGUGUUCGAGAGGGCCAACCUCAACAGUGUUCAUAAAAGUUCCUGAAUCAAAACCAACCCGGAGAGGUCCAGCUGCUAUGACCAGAAUAUGUCGGUCGCAACAAGAGGCUUCUCAGAUCUAUAGUGGUGUUCGCGCCCAACCCAACGAAUAGUUUCAAAGAUGUCAAAAGAGGAACUAGAACUAGAUGGAAUAGGAAGAUAAGUCUUUACUGACCGACAAAUCUAUAGCACAAUGUUCACUAGAAACUGCAAAGCGCCCUCGAG